UGCCGCGUCAUUUUUCAUAUUCAUUAUUCAUUUUUUAUUUUUCUUUUUUCAUUUUUCAUUUUCCAAUUUUCUUUUUUCACUCCCCACUUUCUCUCUCUACCCCCAAUUCUCUCUCGCCGCUCAUCGUUUUCUCUCUCGUCGCUCCUCGCUUUUUCUCUCUACCCCCAGUACUCCUUUCUCUCUCUCUAGCUCGACUCAGACUGGUCUCCUCGCUCCUCGCUCUUCAAUGGAGAGCUUGAUCUACCAAAAUUAUACUACGAACACAGUCCCGAUUGUGCUAUUUGAGCAUAUAUUCUGUUGUGUUAUUUGAUUUGGGAGCCAAAUCGACAUCUGAUCCGCCAAAACAGGCCAACAAUCAUCGCCAAACAAAACUGUUGAGUUCAUCAGUCUAUCCACUUGCAGGUCCAGAUGGAUGGUAGAGAUAACAAAAACCAACCCGCAACUUAUACUGAACAAUAUUCAUAUUCCACUCAAACUGACCCUAUUAAUACUCGUCAGAGCCAGAUGGAUAGUGGGUAUAACCUAUACCAACAAACUGCUCCAAAUGAACAAUUUGUUGCUCGUUCUCAGACAAUGAAAAGGUGACAAGGCAUGAGUGAAGUUUUUUUGUUAAGUCUCAAAAAGCCCGAUGUCAUAGUAGCUUGAGGAAUUCUUUUGAGUAAGAACCCACGUUCAAAAGUAAGGGGCAUUGAAUUGGGACAUCAUAAUUGGGAAGUAAGUGUUACCAUUCCAAUCAUGCGAGAAGAACCACUACCUAUUGCUUCUGCACAUUUCAAAACUAUUGGAGAUAAGCUGGAGCUAGCGUUUCUUGGCCUUCUGCUUAUGUUAUAUAUAGAGAAUGAUGACUUGGUGGAUGACAAAGAUGAAACUCAAUCUGCAUAUAACAGAGUUAUAUUGAGCUUCUCCUCAUCAAUUUGCAACUCUGUUUAAA